rnacentral:rRNA from 1 species
CAUGGUAGCGAAGAGGAUUAGAUACCCUCGUAGUCCAUGCCGUAAACGAUGUGUGUUAGACGUUGGAAAUUUAUUUUCAGUGUCGCAGCGAAAGCGAUAGACACACCGCCUGGGGAGUACGACCGCAAGGUUAAAACUCAAAUGAAUUGACGGGGACCCGCACAAGUAGUGGAGCAUGUGGUUUAAUUCGAAGAUACGCGCAGAACCUUACCAACACUUGACAUGUUCGUCGCGACUCUAAGAGAUUAGAGUUUUCGGUUCGGCCGGACGAAACACAGGUGCUGCAUGGCUGUCGUCAGCUCGUGUCGUGAGAUGUUGGGUUAAGUCCCGCAACGAGCGCAACCCUCACUUUUAGUUGCCAUCAUUAAGUUGGGCACUCUGAAAGAACUGCCAGUGAUAAGCUGGAGGAAGGUGGGGAUGACGUCAAGUCCUCAUGGCCCUUACGUGUUGGGCUACACACGUGCUACAAUGGUAUCUACAACAGGAAGCGAGACUGCGAAGUUAAGCAAAUCCUUAAAAGAUACCUCAGUUCGGAUUGCACUCUGCAACUCGAGUGCAUGAAGCUGGAAUUACUAGUAAUCGUGGAUCAGCGUGCCACGGUGAUGCGUUCCCGGGUCUUGUACACACCGCCCGUCACACCAUGGGAGUUGGUCCUACCUUAAGGCAAGGUUUAAACCCUUGACCACGGUAUAGUCAGCGACUGGGUGAAGUCGUAACAGGUAACC